UGUGUGAGAGAGAGUGAGAUGAUUUCUUCGUAACGGAGAGAGGAAAGUGGAAGAAGAAGCGUGCUUUUGUCGGGCCAUUUCAUUGUUGGGCUGAUACCGAUGGUGUUAAAGCCCAACUCGAUAUCAUUUGCAAUUUUAACUAAUUGAAAUUCCAGAUAGUGGACCAAUAACCAAACUAAUAGACUAGGAGGCUUCCAUUUGUUUGUUAAUAUUUUCAUUUUCAUUUUCGCAUUAUUUGGGUGAUGAGACCUUGGAUAAGAAAGAAGGUGAACGAGCAGAGUGAGUGGUUCUCGAAGAAAAACGGCAGCACAUUCUUACAGGAACUCAUCGCUGAUUGUAACAGUAUAUCAAACCCGAUCCGGUUCUUCUCCUCGGAUCAGAUCCUCAAGGUCACGGAUCGGUUCGAUCCAAACCGCUGUAUCUCUCGUCAUAGAUUCUUCACCUGGUACAAGGGCGUCAUCCAAGACUGACCUUACGCGAUCAAGAAAUUCACAGAUUCUUGGUUUUCAGAAGAGAGUGAGCGAGAGAUCUACAACGACAUCAUUUUAGCCGCCCGGGUAAGCAACCAUAGUAGUUUCCUCAAACUCCUGGGAUGUUCUCUCGAGUUUCCACUUCCGGUUAUUGUAUUCGAACACCCAGAGAAUGGAGUUUUGAACGAGCGAGGAGGUUGCGUGGACGGCACGUUACUGCCUUGGGAAGUUAGGCUUAAGAUUGCCAAGGAGGUGGCCGUUGCUGUGACUUAUCUCCACGCGGCUUUCCCUAGGAUUAUUAUUCACAGAGAUAUCAAGACGACGAAUGUUUUCUUGGAUAAGGACUGGAAUGCUAAGCUGACUGAUUUCACGUUUUCAGUAUCACUCCCUGAAGGGAAGUCGUGGAUUAGAGAUAAAGUGGUGGGAACUUCCGGUUACAUAGAUCCGGUUUACUUCUCCAGGGGUUUAGUGACGGAGUACACAGACGUGUUCAGUUUUGGAAUCUUUAUGUUGGUUCUUUUGUUGGGGAAACCGGCGGUUUUCCGUGGAUCAAGUGGGUUUCAUUGUAAUAUUCUUCAUUAUGUGAAGGAUCUGCAGGAGAGAGGAGAACCUGUUGAAUUUGGGGGUGGUUCAAACGACAUGGUGACCGGUCAGAUGAAAACGUUUCUCGAUCUGGCACUGAGAGGCUGCCUGGGGAGGAGUGAAGACAGGCCAAAGAUGAUUUUGGUGGCAAAAGAGAUUAAGCUAAUUGAAAAAGGGAUCACUUGAUUGUUUCUGAAGAUGGUCAAAUUUAAGAUUUUGAGAUUAUGCUUAUACUUGGGUUUGUGUACUGCUGGGGUUUCUUUAUCUCAAGGGUUUUGCAUUCUAAAAUAUCUCUCUAUGUUACUGUUUUUUUUUAAUUGAAAAUUGCAUUUUUAAAAUGAGAUAUUGUAUGUUUAAGUUAUCAAAUAUUAAAAGCACUUAUAUUCCUCCAUAGAUAUCCUGCUUGUUAAUUCAAAUUAGAUUAUGCCCCGCACGGAAUUUCUUUUAUUUGUUUUCGUGACGUGUAUAGAUUUAAAAUAAAUAAAAACUUUUAUGGUUAAUUGUGUUUAAAUCUAUUUUAUUGGUAAACUUUUUUGGGGUUGCAGAAGGCUAUAAUGUGGAAUGGACUUGAAUCCACUUCAAGUCAUAGGCAUGCACACCUACAAUUGUCAAAGAUAUGGAGCAGCCACUGUCAUUGAAAUAGAGGAAAUUAGGUCGAAUGUAAACUCAGUCAUCAAUGGGUAGAACACAAGGCUAUGUGGUUUUGGUGGAUGGUUUGAUGUUCACUUCCGGGGUAGGGAAGAAGAUCCUGUGCAGCAAGAAAUCGAGUUAACCACAGCUCCAAGUGAACAGCACUACACGCAUUUUGACAAAGGGACGUACUCCCAAAGUUCUUGUCCUGUGAUAUGGUUAAGGCUUCAAAGUUCAAACUGAAAGGAAUGAAGGGAUGGAGAAGUUGAUGCAAUUCUGGUUCCAAACUAGACUGCAACUCUGAUGAAAUGUGCUUGUCAUUGUGGAUGGAGUAGUAGAAGACUGUCCCCUUGCUAUGUGAUGUCUUACUUUUUUUCUCUAUUAGAGUUUUGUUCCAAUAGGGUUUUCUCUAAUGUGAGUUUUAAGGAGGAAAAUCACAUAGCAUUUCCAAACUUGAUUCUCUAUGGUUGAGUUUGAGGGGAAAUUGAAGCUUGGAGUAGUUUUUUUGGUUGAAGGGUUAGAAGUUGUUUUGGUUUGUUUUUUUUCUUUAUUGCUUGUUGCACAAGUAAACAGGAAACAUUUGUUGUAAAAUGCCUUUUUGAUGAAUAAAAUUUAACAUUCAUUCAAAAAAAAAGACAUAUGUUGUCUGAAUUUGGCAGAUUUUCAUUAUGUAUAUUUAUAUUUUACCUUAAGAUUUAGAUUCUUUAGGAAAUGGGAAAUUCCUCUUAUGCUAAUUUACCAUUCAAUCUCUCAUUACAUAUCAAACUCUGUUUCAUUGAAUUUUCUUUAUGUUACGUUUCUAUUGGUUCUUGAAAGUAUUCAAGAAUGCGUUCAAUGUAAACAAACUGGUUCAGUGAACUGCAAACGCAUAAAAAUGUCGAUUGGUUUCUUGUUUUUUGGUCAUAUGUACAUGUAAAUAUUAGAGAGUAGUAUCAAAAUAUACGAGAAUAUCUAUUUUCGUCCACCUGCCUAAAAUCAACAGUUCGGUGCUGAUUUGGUACCUCAACUAUUAAUAGACAACUUAUAAUAGCAAUAUAGAUUAAUCUAUUUAAUUCAAAAGCCAAAACCAAAUUAACAACGACAAAUGAAAAGAAAUCUUACCAUCUUUUUAUAAAAAGAUGAAAGAUCUCUCCAUCUUUCUAUUCCUUUUUAGCCUAUGCAUAAUUGGUUAUGUACAUGGCCAUGGAGUGAGGAUUUCGAACGAACUCAAAUUCCAGAAAGAUCUUAAUAUGAGUUGCUUCUCCGCAGACGACAGGAUAAAAGAGAGAACAUUAAAACCAGGAACUCAUUGGGAAUUCAAUUUUGGUUUGAAUGUUGUGGGGAACACGCGUUAUAUGUGCACUUUGAAACAAGGGCCUGGAUUUAAACACCAUCAGAGCUUCAGAGCAUUUAAAAGACGUGGUUUAUGGGAUUGGAGAGCCAGAGAAGAUGGCAUCUAUUUGACGAGAAAAAAUACAGAAGCCCCACAUAAAGAGUAUGAAUGGAUAUACUAGUUAGUCAUCCGAGGAUAGACGUUUUCUUCGAUCUUCAUGCAAGUGGUCUAAAAAAUUUAAAAUGUCAUACGCUAAUAUUAACAUAUCUACGUUUAUUUAUUUUAUCUAUAUAUGAUAAAAUAUAUAACUGUCUAUCAACAGUUCGCAAUAUUUGUAAUUAUUUUUAUUGCAUUUUACAUAAAUUUUUAUAUCAAUA